rnacentral:rRNA from 1 species
GAUGAACGCUGGCGGCGUGCCUAACACAUGCAAGUCGAACGGGAACUCCUAGAUGAAGUUUCGAUGGAUUUUAGGAAAUUCUAGUGGCGGACGGGUGAGUAACGCGUGGGUAACCUGCCCUUAAGAGAGGAAUAACAACGAGAAAUCGGUGCUAAUACCUCAUAUGCUUACAGUAUCGCAUGGUACAGUGAGGAAAGAUUUAUCGCUUAAGGAUGGACCCGCGUUUGAUUAGCCAGUUGGCAGGGUAACGGCCUACCAAAGCAACGAUCAAUAGCCGGCCUGAGAGGGUGAACGGCCACAUUGGGACUGAGACACGGUCCAAACUCC